AGAUUAAGUUAGUAAGGGUAUAUGGAGAAUGCCUUGGUGCCAGCAGGCGAUGAAGGACGUAGGAAGCUGCGAUAAGCUCCGGGAAGUUGCAACCAAACAUUGAUCCGGAGAUUUCCGAAUCGGGAAACCGUCUGUUAGUAAUAUAAUGGAACCUCUGCUUGAAUAUAUAGAGCAUAGGAGUUAACCAGGAGAAGUGAGACAUCUCAGUAUCCUGAGGAAAAGAAAGCAGUAGCGAUUCCCUGAGUAGCGGCGAGCGAAACGGGAGGGGUCUAAACCAAACAUGUGUAAUAGCCCAUGUGCGUUGCAUGUUCGGGGUUGUGGGGUUUGGCCAGAUUGAGAUAUGGCUCAAUCGUUCCGAAUAAAUAUAUUCUGAUAGUUGAAUGAUAUGGAGAGAUCAACCAAAGAAGGUGAUAGUCCUGUAAACGAAAUCAGAGUAUAGGGAAUGGGUCAGAAACCCGAGUACCGUGGGGCACGUGAAAUCCCAUGGGAAUCAGGCUCGACCACGAGCUAAGACUAAAUACUCGCUGGCAACCGAUAGUGAACAAGUACCGUGAGGGAAAGGUGAAAAGAACCCUUGAGAAGGGAGUGAAAUAGUACCUGAAACCAUAUACCUACAAGCGGUCAAAGCGUUAUGUCCGUGAACUUUGUUCAUAGACUGCGUGAUGGCGUGCCUUUUGCAUAAUGAGCCGGCGAGUUACUAAGUGUAGCAAGGUUAAUCCAUUUAAGUGGAGCAGCCGUAGCGAAAGCGAGUCUUAGUAGGGCAAUAGUUGCACUGAGUAGACCCGAAACCGAGUGAUCUACCCAUGGCCAGAGUGAAGUCCGCCUAUCCGCGGAUGGAGGCUCGAACCCAUCAGGGAUGCAAACCUGCGGGAUGAGCUGUGGGUCGGAGUGAAAGGCUAAUCAAACUCGGUGAUAGCUGGUUCUCCCCGAAAUAUAUUUAAGUAUAGCCUUGUAUAAUAAGCAGUUGGGGUAGAGCACUGAUUGGACUAGGGGCCCUACCAGGCUUCCGAACCCAGUUAAACUUCGAAUACUACUGCUCGUAUUACAGGAGUCAGACUAUGGGGGAUAAGCUUCAUAGUCGAGAGGAAAACAGCCCAGAUCGCCAGCUAAGGUCCCUAAAGCAGACUAAGUGGUAAAGGUUGUGAGGUUGCAUAGACAACCAGAAUGUUGGCUUAGAAGCAGCCAUCAUUUAAAGAGUGCGUAAUAGCUCACUGGUCAAGCGAUUUUGCGCCGAUAAUUUCCGGGGCUAAAGUCUGCUACCGAAGCUGCGAAAUGUUAGUCUAUAGUCCAUAGACGAUAGUCCAUAGAGAAAAACGAAACAUAGUGGACUGUGGACUGAUGUUGGUAGGGGAGCGUUCUUUGUUGAGUGAAGCCAUACCGUAAGGAGUGGUGGACGGCAAAGAAGUGAUAAUGCCGGCAUAAGUAACGAUAAAACCCGUGAGAAACGGGUUCGCCGAAAAUCUAAGGUUUCCUGGGGAAGGUUAAUCCGCCCAGGGUUAGUCGGGCCUAAGCUGAGGCCGAAAGGCGUAAGCGAUGGACAACAGGGUAAUAUUCCUGUACCACCUGGUAAGCGUUUAUUCAUUUAUGGAUAAGAGCUAUGGGGUGACGCAGAGCUGAUGACCAAGCGCGCGAGUGGAAGAGCGCGUCUAAGCCGGUACCCUGCUCUGGAGGCAAAUCCUUCAGGGCAUUAAAGGGGAGAGGUGAUAGGGAGUCCAAUCCACGGAGAGGACGAAGUGGUCAAAGACGAGCUGCCAAGAAAAACCUCUAUGAAGUUUAUUGGGUGACCGUACCGCAAACCGCCACUGGUAGGCUGGGGAAAAAACCCCAAGGUGAUCGAGAGAACCCUCGUUAAGGAACUCGGCAAUCUAACCCCGUAACUUAGGGAGAAGGGGUGUCCGCCACGGUGAGGCAAUUAGUCUUUGUCAAGCUGAGGCGGAUCGCAGUGAACAGGCCCAAACGACUGUUUAACAAAAACACAGGCCUCUGCUAAAUCGCAAGAUGAUGUAUAGGGGCUGACACCUGCCCGGUGCCGGAAGGUUAAAAGGAGGGGUUAUUCCGACUUGUCGGAAGAAGCUUUGAAUUGAAGCCCCAGUAAACGGCGGCCGUAACUAUAACGGUCCUAAGGUAGCGAAAUUCCUUGUCGGGUAAGUUCCGACCCGCACGAAUGGCGUAACGACUUGGGCGCUGUCUCAACGAGGGACUCGGUGAAAUUGAAGCAUCGGUGAAGAUACCGGUUACCCGCAGCAAGACGGAAAGACCCUAGAACCUUUACUAUAACCUGAUACUGGGUAUUAGUACAGAUAUGUGUAGGAUAGGUGGAAGACUGAGAAGCUUCCGCGUCAGCGGAGGUGGAGUCGCCCUUGAAAUACCACCCUUAUUGUAUAGAUGUCCUAACCAGCUCGCCUGAAUCGGCGAGGGGGACAGUGUCAGGCGGGUAGUUUGACUGGGGCGGUGACCUCCUAAAAGGUAACGGAGGUGUCCUAAGGUUCCCUCAGCACGGUCGGUAAUCGUGCGUGGAGUGUAAAGGCAUAAGGGAGCUUGACUGCGAGACUAACAAGUCGAGCAGGGACGAAAGUCGGACUUAGUGAUCCGGCGGUACUGCGUGGAAGGGCCGUCGCUCAACGGAUAAAAGCUACCCCGGGGAUAACAGGCUUAUCUCCCCCAAGAGUCCACAUCGACGGGGAGGUUUGGCACCUCGAUGUCGGCUCAUCGCAUCCUGGGGCUGAAUUAGGUCCCAAGGGUUUGGCUGUUCGCCAAUUAAAGCGGUACGUGAGCUGGGUUCAGAACGUCGUGAGACAGUUCGGUCCCUAUCUGUCGCGGGCGUAGGAUAUUUGAGAGGAGCUUCCCUUAGUACGAGAGGACCAGGGUGGACGAACCUCUAGUGUUCCAGUUGUCCUGCCAAGGGCAUCGCUGGGUAGCUACGUUCGGAAAGGAUAAGCGCUGAAAGCAUCUAAGUGCCAAGCCUCCUUCAAGAUAAGAUAUCCCUGAAGACACCUUGAAGAUUACAAGGUUGAUAGGUCAGGGGUGUAAGUAUGGCAACAUAUUGAGCCUACUGAUACUAAUCAGUCGUUUGACUUAAUUCU
rnacentral:rRNA from 1 species